rnacentral:lncRNA from 1 species
UCAAAAGCAGGAAACCAUGCAUAAGGCAGAAUGAAAGUAAAAUGCAAUGAAGACAUUCUAUUAGAAGAAAUGGGCCAUAUGCAAUCAUCCAACUAAAGCAAGACUGGAAAUCAGAAGCUCUCUAUUGUCAUCCUCUCAUUUCUCAAAUGAAGUCUGAGGAGGUUGCGUGACUGACCCUAUGCUACACAGUUCUUCAAUCCUACAUUUUGGUUUUCUAAUCAAGCCUGCAAAAUUUUUCAAGAGCC